rnacentral:rRNA from 1 species
UACGUAGGGGCCGAGCGUUGUCCGGAGUUAUUGGGCGUAAAGCGCGCGCAGGCGGCUUCGCGCGCCCGACGUGAAAGCCCCCGGCUUAACCGGGGAGAGUCGUUGGGGACGGCGGAGCUUGAGGGCGGGAGAGGUCGGUGGAAUUCCCGGUGUAGUGGUGAAAUGCGUAGAUAUUGGGAGGAACACCAGUGGCGAAGGCGGCUCACUGGACCGGUACUGACGCUGAGGCGCGAAAGCGUGGGGAGCAAACGGG